rnacentral:rRNA from 1 species
CGCUUGUUUAUCAAAAACAUGUUUUUUUGAUUAAAUAAAAAGUCUAGCCUGCCCGGUGAAUUUUUAACGGCCGCAGUAUACUGACUGUGCAAAGGUAGCAUAAUCUAUUGUCUUUUAAUUAAAGGCUUGUAUGAAUGGUUGAAUGAGAUAUUAACUAUUUUUAUUUUAAUAAAAAUGAAUUUUAAUUUUUAGUAAAAAUGCUAAAAUAAAAAAAUUAGACGAGGAGACCCUAUAAAUCUUAAUUUUAUUUUUUAUAAUAUUAAUUUUGAAAAUUUUUAAUAAAUUAUAAAAAUAAAAUUUUAUUGGGAGGAUAAUGAAAUUUAAUAAACUUUUAUUUUUUUUUAUAAAUAUAAUUAAAUUAUUGAAUAUAUAAUUAUAAAAUAUUUAAAAAAUUAAGUUACUUUAGGGAUAACAGCGUAAUUAUUUUAAAGAGUUCUUAUCGAUAAAAUAGUUUGCGACCUCGAUGUUGAAUUAAGAAUUAAUUUAGGUGUAGAAGUUUAAAUUUUAAGUCUGUUCGACUUUUGAAUCCUUACUUGAUCUGAGUUCAGACCGG